GGUCAGGUUGGCUGAGCCACACUCAGACCUAGACAUUUGUUUGUUGGAUGUACUUGGUGUAGUCAUAUUAAUAGUUGGACCUAACUAGGAUUUUCAGUAAAGGUGCCACACACCUGUUGAAGAGAUGUCUAGGAUAAAAUCUAAUUACUAAAAAUUAUUUAGUGAAAUAAUUGGUUAAGAACCUUCCCAUAGAUGCACUAGGGU
rnacentral:lncRNA from 1 species